rnacentral:rRNA from 1 species
GACGAACGCUGGCGGCGUGCUUAACACAUGCAAGUCGAACGGAAAGGCCCUGCUUUUGUGGGGUGCUCGAGUGGCGAACGGGUGAGUAACACGUGAGUAACCUGCCCUUGACUUUGGGAUAACUUCAGGAAACUGGGGCUAAUACCGGAUAGGAGCUCCUGCUGCAUGGUGGGGGUUGGAAAGUUUCGGCGGUUGGGGAUGGACUCGCGGCUUAUCAGCUUGUUGGUGGGGUAGUGGCUUACCAAGGCUUUGACGGGUAGCCGGCCUGAGAGGGUGACCGGCCACAUUGGGACUGAGAUACGGCCCAGACUCCUACGGGAGGCAGCAGUGGGGAAUAUUGCACAAUGGGCGGAAGCCUGAUGCAGCAACGCCGCGUGCGGGAUGACGGCCUUCGGGUUGUAAACCGCUUUCGCCUGUGACGAAGCGUGAGUGACGGUAAUGGGUAAAGAAGCACCGGCUAACUACGUGCCAGCAGCCGCGGUGAUACGUAGGGUGCGAGCGUUGUCCGGAUUUAUUGGGCGUAAAGGGCUCGUAGGUGGUUGAUCGCGUCGGAAGUGUAAUCUUGGGGCUUAACCCUGAGCGUGCCUUCGAUACGGGUUGACUUGAGGAAGGUAGGGGAGAAUGGAAUUCCUGGUGGAGCGGUGGAAUGCGCAGAUAUCAGGAGGAACACCAGUGGCGAAGGCGGUUCUCUGGGCCUUUCCUGACGCUGAGGAGCGAAAGCGUGGGGAGCGAACAGGCUUAGAUACCCUGGUAGUCCACGCUGUAAACGGUGGGUACUAGGUGUGGGGUCCAUUCCACGGGUUCCGUGCCGUAGCUAACGCUUUAAGUACCCCGCCUGGGGAGUACGGCCGCAAGGCUAAAACUCAAAGGAAUUGACGGGGCCCCGCACAAGCGGCGGAGCAUGCGGAUUAAUUCGAUGCAACGCGUAGAACCUUACCUGGGUUUGACAUGGAUCGGGAGUGCUCAGAGAUGGGUGUGCCUCUUUUGGGGUCGGUUCACAGGUGGUGCAUGGCUGUCGUCAGCUCGUGUCGUGAGAUGUUGGGUUAAGUCCCGCAACGAGCGCAACCCUUGUUCACUGUUGCCAGCACGUUAUGGUGGGGACUCAGUGGAGACCGCCGGGGUCAACUCGGAGGAAGGUGGGGAUGACGUCAAGUCAUCAUGCCCCUUAUGUCCAGGGCUUCACGCAUGCUACAAUGGCUGGUACAGAGAGUGGCGAGCCUGUGAGGGUGAGCGAAUCUCGGAAAGCCGGUCUCAGUUCGGAUUGGGGUCUGCAACUCGACCUCAUGAAGUCGGAGUCGCUAGUAAUCGCAGAUCAGCAACGCUGCGGUGAAUACGUUCCCGGGGCU